GCAGUCCCACUCCCGACCGGCAUGAUCGUGGCUGAGCUCAACUGAACUGAGAAAGGAACGAAUCAGUCCAUGAAGUGAUCCUAAUUCACUUCGUUCACUGAAAAGAUCCGUUCGUUCGAACGACACGUUCGUGACCGACACAACACAAGUCUGGUCUCACGCUGUCCCUCCAGUUGUGUUCAUGGUGUUUUAUUUCAGCGGCUCGCUUGGAUGUUGCAGCUGGUUGUGUGCUGCUUACUGUCCGCUGCUGGUUGCUGUGUAGCUGAUCGCGUUGCUCCACACCAUGCUGACUGUGAUUGCCUGACCGGUGCUGAGCCUAGGGUGGUGGAUUGGUGUCGUGGUGGCGGUGUCCCUCUUGUGUUUGGCACUUUUUAGGUUGCUUUUUGUUUCACUUUUAUUUACUUCAUGUGAGGUGUUCCUGGGAUCUCUUUGUUUUGGACCCACCUCCCCCCUACUACCCCUACUUGGUCCCCCUUUUUGUCCCAGUGAGUGACUUCUUAAAAUAUUUUUAAGACUAUUUAAACUGAAAUCAAUAAAUGUUUUGUACCCAGA